rnacentral:rRNA from 1 species
CGUAACAAGGUCUCCGUUGGUGAACCAGCGGAGGGAUCAUUACCGAGUUUACAACUCCCAAACCCCUGUGAACAUACCACUUGUUGCCUCGGCGGAUCAGCCCGCUCCCGGUAAAACGGGACGGCCCGCCAGAGGACCCCUAAACUCUGUUUCUAUAUGUAACUUCUGAGUAAAACCAUAAAUAAAUCAAAACUUUCAACAACGGAUCUCUUGGUUCUGGCAUCGAUGAAGAACGCAGCAAAAUGCGAUAAGUAAUGUGAAUUGCAGAAUUCAGUGAAUCAUCGAAUCUUUGAACGCACAUUGCGCCCGCCAGUAUUCUGGCGGGCAUGCCUGUUCGAGCGUCAUUUCAACCCUCAAGCACAGCUUGGUGUUGGGACUCGCGUUAAUUCGCGUUCCUCAAAUUGAUUGGCGGUCACGUCGAGCUUCCAUAGCGUAGUAGUAAAACCCUCGUUACUGGUAAUCGUCGCGGCCACGCCGUUAAACCCCAACUUCUGAAUGUUGACCUCGGAUCAGGUAGGAAUACCCGCUGAACUUAAGCAUAUCAA